AGCGCCUGUAGGUAGUGUGGGAUACUGGCAGGUGAGUACGGUCAGGACUAGAGAUCUGAUGGCAAGUAGGGCUGGGCGAUAUGGACCAAAAGUCAUAUCUCGAUAUUUUGUAGCUAAAUGGCGAUACUCGAUAUAUAUCGAUAUUUUUUCUGUGCCAUAAUUGGAGUUUCCCCCAAAGCAUUAUAGCCUAGCAUUUCUGUUAGCUUCAUUUUUUUCUGAGGCAAACCCUUAAAAAAAACUGUUUUAAUACAAAGCCUCGUGCCAAAUGUCACACAGGUACCUUUGUUGGACCACCGUCCAUAUGGUUAUGAAUUCAUGACAUUUAUGAUUGGGUGAACAUUUAUUUUGGACCAGUAAAGGGCCGAAGCCAAAGCUAAAGUCUCAUGAUCCCUGCCUCAUGGUGAGUUUACGACACCUCCAGCGUGGUCUGGAGAACGACCCCAUGGACACCAGGAUUUGCAUAUGUGACCCUCUUGGUGAUAAGGCACCACACUUUGAUUGGACAAGGACCCCGAGCUGCAGGAAGGGGUAUCAACUUCCUGUAUGCAGCUAUAAAAGAGGAGACCCCCCUCUCUCCGCUCUCUUCUCUCUUUUUUCUGCUUCCUCCUUCUCACCCACAGGUCUCUGCUGUAGCCAAGGGCCGGCUUUCUCCUUCGUGAACGAAGGAGCGUCCGUUUUGCAGCGCUGCACGAGCGACCCACGCAGUUCCGAGCCCAGAAAGCCGAACUAGGGACCCUGCAUUGACUCGACGUGAACGCGACGCCGAUCCGAAGUUGAAGGAAGCCAAGUGCUGUGCCCAGCUGCUGUCCCCUCAUCCAGCUGCCUUUCCCCUCAUCCGCAGCAAGGACACAGGAGGGAGUGAUAGCCGCUUUAUCAGGAUCGCCUGCUGAGCGUAAACACCCAGCUGUUCCCCAGGGAACGCUGACCGACCACCCCUUUUUUUCUUCAACUGCAAAGGUUCACGUAAGAGGCUGUUUUUGAUGUCUGGGCAGGGAAAACUUAGUAAUACACUUUAAAAGUUAGUUUACGCUGUGAGCUGGACUGCUGAUCCCGUCAUAGUUGUGUUUAUUAACUUAAGUGUUUUGUUUAUCUUCUUAUUUGUCUACGGCUGCAUCCACAUUGCUGGAUCGUUAUGACAUGCUUCUCGACAACCGAAAACAAGGCCCUUCUAGAUUUCCCGGUUGGAUGACCAGAGCGCACGUGUGAAGUUUAGUUUCACAUUGGGGCAUUUCUGUGCCUUCUGAUCUGAAAGAUCAGAAGGUCUUGGGUUUCUGCUAGUGAGAAAUUAUUUAAGAGUGUCUAUUAUUGUACUUUUCUUCGGUAUCUCUCUCUCUUCCUCUCGUACUAACCCCCCCCACACGCACACACACACACACACACACAGACGCUCCCCUCGGUCAUAAAUUCCCGAGCCAGUCUGAGAUCCCACACACACACACACACACACACACACACACACACACACACACACACACACACACACACACACACACACACACACACACACACACACACACACACACACACACACACACGCACGCAGACACACACACACACACUCACACACUCACACACACACACACGCACACGCACACACACACACACACACACACACACACACACACUAGUCACACCCCACACAGAUGACUGGAACUUUUGCAUUGUAUAAUUUCUGUCCCUGUUUACGUAGUGUGCCAUCAGGAUUUAUUGGGGUGUUCCGUUUACCAUCUUUUGACACCUAUAUGUAAAUAAAUUCUGAUUGAUUUGUCGUUAUUGUGGUUGUCGUUAUUUCAUGCAGAUUUUGGUCACAAUUGAUUUGUUUGACAGAGCCUAGUGUUCGGAUCUCACCCUUCAAUUACUGUAUUAGGCAUAAACCUUAAUUUCUGAGACUGAUUUUCUGCUGUAAAAGUUAUCAUUUCCCUGCUUAAGGAACAGGGUGGUGCCCCGAGGAUUUUAUUUAUCAUAUUGGUCAUUCAAUUUGAUAAAUAGUCGACUUUAUUAAUUAUUAAUAAUUAUGAAUAAUAUUUAUUAAUAACCCUUCGAUAACUGAACAGCCAAGCUACCUAUGAGUUGCACAACAUAAAUGGUCCGCCCGUGUGGGGCUCUAAUAACGACAUUGUGACUGAAUUUGUAUGAAAUAACAGAAUAUUAAUUUUGAUCGGGAAAGAAAAUAUUUUUAUUUUUCUUCCCCUCUCAUUAUCUGAUUCCUAUGGUUAUUUUAAAACCUGUUAAUGGCAACCUCGCUUCACUAAGGGUUGGUCGCUUUAAGUUCUUUAGGUUUAUUAACUUGAACUUUUAUUUUUAUCAUUACUUUUAUUAAUCUGUUUGAUUAAUUUUCCUCUGCAACCUUACUUCACUGAAGCUAAUGCUACUGCUUCACUGAAGUUAAUGGUUGGCUUUGUUUCAAGUUCUUUAAAUUCUAUUAAUAGAACUUUGUCGGGAUUACCCCAUGUGAGUUAUUCUUUCGGAUUAAUUUCUAUCGUGUUUGCUAAAUUGAAUCUUUAAUUUGGGUGGCAUUUCAAUUUUAAUCCACCUUAUUGAUUCUCUUUUGUUUUUUUUUGUGCUUCCAAGGUUAUCUCAAUUCUGUUUAUGAUAACCAAGACCCCAACUGCUUUGAGGCACAUAUCAGAGUUGGCUCAGUCUCUCAUGCUUCAUUUAUUGUCUCAUUCCUCCUAAUCUGGGUGAUAACGUGAAUCUACUUCAUUACUGAGUGUUAAUCUCUUGGCAGAGAGUUCGCAAGCGAAACACUGGUGUCCGGUUCGUGAACUGCGUGUGGUGUACAAGGCAGGAAACUCAUCGCAUUUGGACGCAGAGCCAGCAGAGGUGACCAGAGGUUGACUAGAAGGACCAUCAGGCAAGUUCCGUUUGAAUAGGAAGCUUUUCGCCAGGUACCCUACAGUCCCGGGUCCCCUGGCCAGACGCGCGAUGACUAGCCCAGGUAACCAUGAAGGGGGGGCCGAGGCUUCCCCCAGCGUCACUUUUACCGACACUCAAGAAGUAAUUGCACGUGUUAUGGAAAUACCCAGAGAUGAGCUGAGCAUAAUAAAUGACUAUGACCUCCAGACCUGCGAAGGGAGGAUAGCAGAGCUCACUAGCUUCGCCAAGAAACCGUAUAAAAAAGCCCGUGUAGCCAACGUCCUGGGUAAACUGACGUUGCUAUGGCAACGUAAGGCAGAACUCCAGGCUGGGGAAAACAAACACAGGUGGCGACAAAAAUACGAGGGGGAAGUGUUGGCGCACUGCGAGGCGCAGGAAGAGAUUGAACGCUUGAAAAGCCUGUUAAGAGAGGCUCAAGCACGAAUCCGAGAAACUAGUCGAUGCGCCUCAGAGGAGGUGAAUAACGUCCAUAAUUAUGAACGUAACGCUGGUGAUAGGAUACAGGAGUUGAUCUCUUUAAUUAAAAGUUCUUCCAGAGAAGCAUUCUUCUCCGAUGUGCUUAGUUGCAAAACCCAGCUCCAGUCACAUAAGUUCAGCCACGUGGAGGAACGCCAUGAAAAGUCAUGGCUGCUCCGUGAGCAAGCACUUAGCCUCCGGGAGAAGGCAUUAAGCCUCAAUGAGCAGUCGCUUAGUCUUCGCCAGCAGUCGCUGGACCUCCGUGAGCGGUCACUGGACUCCUGUAACGGGUCCACUCGAAGCUCCGAGAAAAUGGAGCCGCACUGGGUAGAAAACAAGCAUGUGAACCGCGAGCCACGGCUCGAAUCAGAAAUUAAAGUAGAUCAACUCCCCAGUGUCCCGAUCAUUAACAAUUUGCAGCAGUGUGAUGAAAGGCGUGACCAAUCUCACACUGACCCACGGCCAGCAGGGGGCCAGAGAAAGGAUCCAGCAGUUAACCAGCUGAUCCCGUCUGAGCCCAGGGGGACAGCCAGUAGCCCAAACGCUACUGACACCGUUCCAGACCUUAUCACCUGGGAUGAAAUGAAAGUGCAGCCCCCCAGGUGCAAAAUGAGGAAAGGGGGGUCAGACUUAAAGCGUGCCCCCCCGUUCACCCUCAGGCCCACUGCUCCGCGUGUUCAAGAUGAGGUGCUGAGUCCGAAAUGCGGCCAGCCUUAUAAUCUGAAGGCCGUAAAUCCAAAUUUCCGGGAGCCUUUCCCUGAUGGACAAAAACUUGUGUCAGGUGGUUUAAACCCCCACUUUGACCUACCUGUUCCACACCAGACAAGAACUAAUUAUUCUUCUCGGCACAGGGACCGGUUGUAUCAGGAAUGUUCUGGUGGACCAGACGACCCUGGCCCGCCACAUAGACAAGGCUUGCGUCUCCGUGACCUUGAGUCCCUGGCCAAUGACAUAGAACACUUUGACCCGGAUGAUCCAGGGUCAAAUAUUGAGAAUUAUCUCGAUGAGGUUCAGGAUUGCCUCCGAGAUUUACCUCAUGCAUCCUCUAGCGAGAAGGUAAAGCUUCUUUGGAAAACCACAGCCAGGAGCGUUCGUGUUUUCAUAAGAUCCCUUCCAGCUAAAACCAGAGACUGCUAUGAAGCACUCCGUCAGGCUUUGCUAGAGGAGUAUUUUUCUGAAACCGACUGGGCUUCAGCUACUCUGGCGGCUUCUUCGAUUAAGCACCAGGAGUCAGAAACCCCCAAAGAUUAUUACUGGCGUCUGAGAGCUGCGUUUUUCCAGGGACGCAACACUCCAGGUUUGGAGAAUGAUCGUCAUUUUAAAUCUCUAUUCCUCCAUAACCUCCAUGAAAGCGUGCGAUGUAAGGUAACUCUUUACUGCAGCAGGAUGAGAGAUCUCAGCAUGCGACGAAUACGUGAAUACGCCCAGCUGGCGUGGGAAACACAGAGACGUCCCACUGUAGAUUCGGAGAACGGUCCACAGAGUGACCGAGCGGUGCUCCACCCCGGUGCUGGCGCCAAGAGACGGCGCAGACGUCGUAGGUCAGCAGGCCGGGGGGGUGCCAUAUAUACCCUGUUGGCCAGAGCACUGAACGAGCUGCAUGACUCGUCUGCAGCCGACUGACAACUUCUGACCCAGAAGUGCAAAUCCCCCCACCCCUGAAAAAGGGGGGGAGGGAUCUUGGAGUGUUAGGGAAGUAAAGCUCAGGCCUACACUCACAAUUUUAUUUCAUUUGUUCUGUUUUUGUUUUUCCGGAUCUAGCAAUUAAUCGCAGAAUGAUUAAACUGUUAGGGAAUAAGACUUUCUUCCUCCGUUACCCGAGGUCGGUUCUGUUACAGGACGGACCCCCUCCGAUCCGUUUCCUUCCUCAGCACCGCUCUGCCAAGGGAUUAACACGUAGUGAACACCCGCUGGGUCCGGUCUGCUUUUGGCAGUUACGUAUCGAGGGUCCGUAACCUAACUAACCUCCCUUCUUUUUAUCUUUAUCUACCUCAUUCUGCUAGUAAUGACACUGAACUGCAUAAUCGAAUCCCUUAUCGUUUCUAUAUGUUUUAUGUUUUAUGUUUAUUGUUAUGUUUUAUACCCUAGUCUCGUAUAGCAUAGCGUAUUUCCGUCUGCCCAGACGUGCCUCACCUCUGCCCAGACAAAGCCUCCAGCGCUAUGCUAACCUCUGAACUUUUAAGUACUGUGCCCCUCUGCCAACCAGGACUGCAUCACAUGGACUGUUGCACCGUUGGUAGAUUUGACAACCAGACCCUGCAUUCCCGCCGUCAAAUCUAAGGGGGGAUGUUGGACCACCGUCCAUAUGGUUAUGAAUUCAUGACAUUUAUGAUUGGGUGAACAUUUAUUUUGGACCAGUAAAGGGCCGAAGCCAAAGCUAAAGUCUCAUGAUCCCUGCCUCAUGGUGAGUUUACGACACCUCCAGCGUGGUCUGGAGAACGACCCCAUGGACACCAGGAUUUGCAUAUGUGACCCUCUUGGUGAUAAGGCACCACACUUUGAUUGGACAAGGACCCCGAGCUGCAGGAAGGGGUAUCAACUUCCUGUAUGCAGCUAUAAAAGAGGAGACCCCCCUCUCUCCGCUCUCUUCUCUCUUUUUUCUGCUUCCUCCUUCUCACCCACAGGUCUCUGCUGUAGCCAAGGGCCGGCUUUCUCCUUCGUGAACGAAGGAGCGUCCGUUUUGCAGCGCUGCACGAGCGACCCACGCAGUUCCGAGCCCAGAAAGCCGAACUAGGGACCCUGCAUUGACUCGACGUGAACGCGACGCCGAUCCGAAGUUGAAGGAAGCCAAGUGCUGUGCCCAGCUGCUGUCCCCUCAUCCAGCUGCCUUUCCCCUCAUCCGCAGCAAGGACACAGGAGGGAGUGAUAGCCGCUUUAUCAGGAUCGCCUGCUGAGCGUAAACACCCAGCUGUUCCCCAGGGAACGCUGACCGACCACCCCUUUUUUUCUUCAACUGCAAAGGUUCACGUAUGGAUGGAUGCAGGUACCCAGAUAUUUUUCUCUUAUGGAAUCUGCUUGGGGAGUCUCACAGCUUUGGGCAGUUACAACAAAUACAACAAUGACUGCUAUAAGUGAGACACUUAACUAACGCACACACACUCAACCAAACCCCCACAAGAGCAGUUCCAGCCACACAGCAACCCCUUCCCCUCUACUUCAAACAAACCGUAUGCACUGAAAUGUAAGAUGUAAGCUCCCACUGGUCAUCUGGCUUCCAGGAGGAAUGGCUGGAAUGGACAGAGAAAACACGCUGAUACUGCCACACCUUAAAGAAAAGCCCUCGCUGCCAUGUUUCCCACAGACUCACACAGAACCAGCCGCUCGAUUGUUAGGGCCUCUCCGGGUUCUGUUUCUAAGUUGUGCAAACGGGGAUUUGUUCAUACAGCUCUGCUGUUUCAUUCAAAUUCUCAGACGAUGGUUUGUUCUGCUC